rnacentral:tRNA from 1 species
GCGCCUGUAGCUCAUCUGGAUAGAGCAACGGCCUUCGAAGCCGUAGGCGGCACGUUCGAGUCGUGUCAGGCGCA